UUUAGCUCGGGUAUAACUAAGAACUAACUAUUAUAGAAAUAGGUGCAAAUACGGAGAUAAGUAAAAUAGUAUUUGGAUAAAAAUUAGAUUAUUUUCGGGGAUAAGAAAAAUAGCGUUUGGAUAGAUAAUAUGAAAUAAGAAAAAUAGUGGAUAGUUAUAUAUAGAAAUGAAGGUGUUGGUCGGAAUAGUUAUACAAACUUAUUCUAGAUAUUCAAGAACUACUAUUCUCUAGUAAAAAAUUUACGUUUGAAUAUAAAUGAGGGGAUAAGAGGUUAUC
rnacentral:lncRNA from 1 species